UGACUAGAGCCUAUUCUCUUCU
rnacentral:miRNA from 1 species